GGGUUGUGAGGUUAAGCGACUAAGCGUACACGGUGGAUGCCCUGGCAGUCAGAGGCGAUGAAGGACGUGCUAAUCUGCGAUAAGCGUCGGUAAGGUGAUAUGAACCGUUAUAACCGGCGAUUUCCGAAUGGGGAAACCCAGUGUGUUUCGACACACUAUCAUUAACUGAAUCCAUAGGUUAAUGAGGCGAACCGGGGGAACUGAAACAUCUAAGUACCCCGAGGAAAAGAAAUCAACCGAGAUUCCCCCAGUAGCGGCGAGCGAACGGGGAGCAGCCCAGAGCCUGAAUCAGUGUGUGUGUUAGUGGAAGCGUCUGGAAAGGCGCGCGAUACAGGGUGACAGCCCCGUACACAAAAAUGCACAUACUGUGAGCUCGAUGAGUAGGGCGGGACACGUGGUAUCCUGUCUGAAUAUGGGGGGACCAUCCUCCAAGGCUAAAUACUCCUGACUGACCGAUAGUGAACCAGUACCGUGAGGGAAAGGCGAAAAGAACCCCGGCGAGGGGAGUGAAAAAGAACCUGAAACCGUGUACGUACAAGCAGUGGGAGCCUCUUUUAUGGGGUGACUGCGUACCUUUUGUAUAAUGGGUCAGCGACUUAUAUUCUGUAGCAAGGUUAACCGAAUAGGGGAGCCGAAGGGAAACCGAGUCUUAACCGGGCGUUAAGUUGCAGGGUAUAGACCCGAAACCCGGUGAUCUAGCCAUGGGCAGGUUGAAGGUUGGGUAACACUAACUGGAGGACCGAACCGACUAAUGUUGAAAAAUUAGCGGAUGACUUGUGGCUGGGGGUGAAAGGCCAAUCAAACCGGGAGAUAGCUGGUUCUCCCCGAAAGCUAUUUAGGUAGCGCCUCGUGAAUUCAUCUCCGGGGGUAGAGCACUGUUUCGGCAAGGGGGUCAUCCCGACUUACCAACCCGAUGCAAACUGCGAAUACCGGAGAAUGUUAUCACGGGAGACACACGGCGGGUGCUAACGUCCGUCGUGAAGAGGGAAACAACCCAGACCGCCAGCUAAGGUCCCAAAGUCAUGGUUAAGUGGGAAACGAUGUGGGAAGGCCCAGACAGCCAGGAUGUUGGCUUAGAAGCAGCCAUCAUUUAAAGAAAGCGUAAUAGCUCACUGGUCGAGUCGGCCUGCGCGGAAGAUGUAACGGGGCUAAACCAUGCACCGAAGCUGCGGCAGCGACACUGUGUGUUGUUGGGUAGGGGAGCGUUCUGUAAGCCUGUGAAGGUGUGCUGUGAGGCAUGCUGGAGGUAUCAGAAGUGCGAAUGCUGACAUAAGUAACGAUAAAGCGGGUGAAAAGCCCGCUCGCCGGAAGACCAAGGGUUCCUGUCCAACGUUAAUCGGGGCAGGGUGAGUCGACCCCUAAGGCGAGGCCGAAAGGCGUAGUCGAUGGGAAACAGGUUAAUAUUCCUGUACUUGGUGUUACUGCGAAGGGGGGACGGAGAAGGCUAUGUUGGCCGGGCGACGGUUGUCCCGGUUUAAGCGUGUAGGCUGGUUUUCCAGGCAAAUCCGGAAAAUCAAGGCUGAGGCGUGAUGACGAGGCACUACGGUGCUGAAGCAACAAAUGCCCUGCUUCCAGGAAAAGCCUCUAAGCAUCAGGUAACAUCAAAUCGUACCCCAAACCGACACAGGUGGUCAGGUAGAGAAUACCAAGGCGCUUGAGAGAACUCGGGUGAAGGAACUAGGCAAAAUGGUGCCGUAACUUCGGGAGAAGGCACGCUGAUAUGUAGGUGAAGUCCCUCGCGGAUGGAGCUGAAAUCAGUCGAAGAUACCAGCUGGCUGCAACUGUUUAUUAAAAACACAGCACUGUGCAAACACGAAAGUGGACGUAUACGGUGUGACGCCUGCCCGGUGCCGGAAGGUUAAUUGAUGGGGUCAGCGCAAGCGAAGCUCUUGAUCGAAGCCCCGGUAAACGGCGGCCGUAACUAUAACGGUCCUAAGGUAGCGAAAUUCCUUGUCGGGUAAGUUCCGACCUGCACGAAUGGCGUAAUGAUGGCCAGGCUGUCUCCACCCGAGACUCAGUGAAAUUGAACUCGCUGUGAAGAUGCAGUGUACCCGCGGCAAGACGGAAAGACCCCGUGAACCUUUACUAUAGCUUGACACUGAACAUUGAGCCUUGAUGUGUAGGAUAGGUGGGAGGCUUUGAAGUGUGGACGCCAGUCUGCAUGGAGCCGACCUUGAAAUACCACCCUUUAAUGUUUGAUGUUCUAACGUGGACCCGUGAUCCGGGUUGCGGACAGUGUCUGGUGGGUAGUUUGACUGGGGCGGUCUCCUCCUAAAGAGUAACGGAGGAGCACGAAGGUUGGCUAAUCCUGGUCGGACAUCAGGAGGUUAGUGCAAUGGCAUAAGCCAGCUUGACUGCGAGCGUGACGGCGCGAGCAGGUGCGAAAGCAGGUCAUAGUGAUCCGGUGGUUCUGAAUGGAAGGGCCAUCGCUCAACGGAUAAAAGGUACUCCGGGGAUAACAGGCUGAUACCGCCCAAGAGUUCAUAUCGACGGCGGUGUUUGGCACCUCGAUGUCGGCUCAUCACAUCCUGGGGCUGAAGUAGGUCCCAAGGGUAUGGCUGUUCGCCAUUUAAAGUGGUACGCGAGCUGGGUUUAGAACGUCGUGAGACAGUUCGGUCCCUAUCUGCCGUGGGCGCUGGAGAACUGAGGGGGGCUGCUCCUAGUACGAGAGGACCGGAGUGGACGCAUCACUGGUGUUCGGGUUGUCAUGCCAAUGGCACUGCCCGGUAGCUAAAUGCGGAAGAGAUAAGUGCUGAAAGCAUCUAAGCACGAAACUUGCCCCGAGAUGAGUUCUCCCUGACCCUUUAAGGGUCCUGAAGGAACGUUGAAGACGACGACGUUGAUAGGCCGGGUGUGUAAGCGCAGCGAUGCGUUGAGCUAACCGGUACUAAUGAACCGUGAGGCUUAACCUUACAACGCCGAAGGUGUUU
rnacentral:rRNA from 2 species